rnacentral:rRNA from 1 species
UACGGGAGGAUCAGCGUUAUCCGGAAUCAUUGGGUUUAAAGGGUCCGUAGGCGGCCUUAUAAGUCAGUGGUGAAAUCUCCCGGCUCAACCGGAAAUGGCCAUUGAUACUGUAGGGCUUGGAAUUAUUAGGAAGUAACUAGAAUAUGUAGUGUAGCGGUGAAAUGCUUAGAUAUUACAUGGAAUACCAAUUGACGAAGGCAGGUUACUACUAAUGGAUUGACGCUGAUGGACGAAAGCGUGGGUAGCGAACAGGGAUUAGAAAACCCCCAGUAGUC